GGUAUUUUGACCGUGCUAAGGUAGCANAAUCAUUUGGCUUUNAAUUGAUAACUGGAAUGAAAGGUUGCUCUUAUUUUAAUUUUUGUAAAACUNAAAUAAUAAAUNAAAGUNAGGGUCAGAAUUCUUUAAUUCUCNAGGGGACGAUAAGACCCNAGAAGCUUAAUAUAGAGUUGUACUUANAGAUAAUGUUGAUUAUUUAUUUAACUGGGGCGAUAGGAGUACACUUACUAUUUGCUNAAAAAAGAUCUUUAAAAUUAAGANAAUUGGGAUUAGUUACUCUAGGGAGAACAGUGCAAUUUUUUNAGAAAGACCUUAUUGAUGAANAAGUUUGCAACCUCGAUGUUGAAUUAAGAUGUCUACGUGAGGUANAAGGUACUAAAGAAAGGUUUGUUCAACCUNAAAAGUCUUACGUGAUCNGAGUUCAAACCGGA
rnacentral:rRNA from 1 species